UACGAAGGGGGCUAGCGUUGCUCGGAAUCACUGGGCGUAAAGCGCACGUAGGCGGAUUCUUAAGUCAGGGGUGAAAUCCUGGAGCUCAACUCCAGAACUACCUUUGAUACUGGGAAUCUCGAGUCCGGGAGAGGUGAGUGGAACUGCGAGUGUAGAGGUGAAAUUCGUAGAUAUUCGCAAGAACACCAGUGGCGAAGGCGGCUCACUGGCCCGGUACUGACGCUGAGGUGCGAAAGCGUGGGGAGCAAACAGG
rnacentral:rRNA from 1 species